rnacentral:tRNA from 1 species
GCUUUUAUAGUUUAUAAAAAUAUUAGUCUUGUAAACUAAAGUAGGUAAAACCUAAAAGCUC